GUGUUUGAGAGUAUGUAUGAGUGUGUUUGAGAGUGUGUAUGAGUGUGUGUGAAAGCAUGUAUGAGUUUGUAUGAGAGUGUGUAUGAGACCGUGUGUUAGAGCAUGUGCUAGAGUGUGUAUGAGUGUGCUAGAGUGUGUAUGAGUGUGUGCGAGAGUGUGUAUGAGUGUGCGAGUGUGUGUGCGAGUGUGUGUGCGACCGUGUGUAUGAGCGUGUGUUAGAGCGUGUGUGAGAGCGUGUAUGAGAGUGUGUGUGAGUGUGUAUGAGACCGUGUGUUAGAGCGUGUGUGAGAGUGUGUAUGAGUGUGUGUGAGAGUGUGUAUGAGACCGUGUGUUAGAGUGUGUGUGAGAGUGUGUAUGAGACCGUGUGUUAGUGUGUGUGAGAGUCAUGCACAUCUCCCCCAUCACUCUGCUGUAUCCAAACAAGGCAUGGUUUGUGGCGUGUGGACUCUUCCACCAUCCACCUGUGUGGACUUUGCUCCUAAUCCUCUCUGAUCCUCUCUCUGCGUUGAAUACUUGGACUACUGAGUGUAACUAAUUCUCCCACACGAGGACAUUGUCUCGGCCACUUUCGCCUUUGUCUUCCUCCUCACGGCGUCUUAUUCAGGAGCCGCGUUCGUUAGCCGAACAGUCGGGCCAGGAG
ensembl:lncRNA